rnacentral:lncRNA from 1 species
CCCAAUUAUCGGACCAUAAUCAUGGAGUUAGUGGAUAAUUUAUGCUUACUAACGAUCGUGGCAUGUAAUUAUUAUCCAUGAUUGUAGUAUCGUGAUUAUAUAUUUGGCAGUCAAUCAUUUGACAGUCGGCCAUUAUGAUACUAGUUUGGUCAUGAAGAUUGUCAGUCGGCCAUAAAGAUGGUCAGUUGGCUAUGCUAUGAAGAUGGUC